rnacentral:rRNA from 1 species
CAGGCUUAACACAUGCAAGUCGAGGGGCAGCAUAAUGGAUAGCAAUAUCUAUGGUGGCGACCGGCGCACGGGUGCGUAACGCGUAUGCAACCUACCUUUAACAGGGGGAUAACACUGAGAAAUUGGUACUAAUACCCCAUAAUAUCAUAGAAGGCAUCUUUUAUGGUUGAAAAUUCCGAUGGUUAGAGAUGGGCAUGCGUUGUAUUAGCUAGUUGGUGGGGUAACGGCUCACCAAGGCGACGAUACAUAGGGGGACUGAGAGGUUAACCCCCCACACUGGUACUGAGACACGGACCAGACUCCUACGGGAGGCAGCAGUGAGGAAUAUUGGUCAAUGGACGCAAGUCUGAACCAGCCAUGCCGCGUGCAGGAUGACGGCUCUAUGAGUUGUAAACUGCUUUUGUACUAGGGUAAACUCACCUACGUGUAGGUGACUGAAAGUAUAGUACGAAUAAGGAUCGGCUAACUCCGUG